rnacentral:tRNA from 1 species
CUAGAAGUGCCAGAAGUUAAUGGGUUGGAUUAAGGCUUCAAUAAUGGUAUUAUUUUCCCUUCUAAG